rnacentral:tRNA from 1 species
GCGAGAGUGGCGGAACUGGCAGACGCGCUGGACUUAGGAUCCAGUGGGAUACCCGUGGGGGUUCGACUCCCCCCUCUCGCAUCA